GUGCCAGCCGCCGCGGUAAUACGUAGGUGGCAAGCGUUGUCCGGAAUUACUGGGCGUAAAGGGUGCGCAGGCGGACAUUUAAGUGAGAUGUGAAAGACCCGGGCUUAACUUGGGCAGUGCAUUUCAAACUGGAUGUCUGGAGUGCAGGAGAGGAGAACGGAAUUCCUAGUGUAGCGGGGAAAUGCGUAGGAAUUAGGAAGAACAACAGUGGCGAAGGGGGCUCUCUGGACUGUAACUGACGCUGAGG
rnacentral:rRNA from 1 species